rnacentral:rRNA from 1 species
UACAGAGGUGGCAAGCGUUGUUCGGAAUUACUGGGCGUAAAGGGCGCGUAGGCGGCCUUCUAAGUCAGACGUGAAAUCCCCCGGCUUAACCUGGGAACUGCGUCUGAUACUGGAGGGCUUGAGUGCGGGAGAGGGAUGUGGAAUUCCAGGUGUAGCGGUGAAAUGCGUAGAUAUCUGGAGGAACACCGGUGGCGAAGGCGGCAUCCUGGACCGACACUGACGCUGAGGCGCGAAAGCCAGGGGAGCAAACGGG